GACAGCCCAGGGGCAGAGGCAGGCUCUGCCUCACUCUAUCCAAACUGUUAAGCAAGAUCUGCUGUUCUGAUCUUGAGAAGACUGAGAAUAAUUAUCGCCGAAAACCAUAGAAGAUUUUACAGCAGCCUGGCUCUAACAGGGUCCUUUACUGACAGACCUGGAUGCUAUGGUGCACACCCUGACUCUCAGCACUCUACCUGCAGAGGGAGGAGGAGGCUCUGGCUGCAGAUUCCAAGUCAGGCUCUUCAGCACAGUCAGUAUCAGAGAAUGUGGACUCAGGUUUCAGCAGCUACAGGGCAGUUCACAACUGUCUGCAACACCAGUUCCAGGGGAUCAUAAACAAAGAAAGAAAAAAAGAAAAGGAAAAGGAAAAGAAAAAAAGGGAAAGGAAAUAGUACACUGAAAUGACCUGACAUCAUAAAAUUUCAUCAUAUGCCUUGAAAUAAUCAAAGUAAGUGAUAACAGGAUGAUGACAUGAUUUAUUGCGUGACAAAACUACAGCAAGAUGUAACGGAAUAAUAAUGACUUGAAAUAAUGAAGUGAUGUUGUAAAGAAAUAAUGACUUGGAAUGUUCAUAUGAAAUAAAUUCAAAUAAUGAAAUUAGGUGUAGUGGCGUGCCAUUAAGCAAAAUGAAAUGUAAUCAAAUGAAAAGAAAUUAUGAGAAAUGAAUUCAGAUUCAAAAGGAACUGAUAUGACAUGGAAUAAUCAAAUGAAGAAAUGAAAUGGAGUAAUAAAACUUGAGGAUGUGAUAUAAUGUAAGACAAUAAAUGAAAUAGUGGUUUAAACUUACAAGAUGAAAUACAAUGCAAUAAAGAAGAAAUUUGUACUUUAAAUAUUAUGUAAUGCAAUGGUUUGAAACAAUCAAGCAAAAUGAAAGAAUAAAAUGAUGAAAUGGGUCGAUGGAAAGAAGGCAGGCAAAAUGAAGAUCAUAGAACAAAAUAAAAUAAAAAUUUAAAUGGCUUUUUUUUUUCGUUUUUCGAGACAGGUUUUCUCUGUAUUGUUUUGGAGCCUGUCCUGGAUCUUGCUCUGUAGACCCGGCUGGCCUCAAACUCACAGAGAUCUGCCUGCCUCUGUCUCUCGAGUGCUGGGAUUAAAGGCCUGGGCCACCGACGCCCAGCUUUAUAAUGAUUUUUAUAACAGUGAAAGUAUAUGAAACUUGGAACUGAAAUUUAGUGAGUAUCUGUGAUGAAAGAAAAUGGGCUGAAAUUAAUACAUCAAAAGAAUGGGAUGAAAUUUAAUGUAGUGGAUGAAACCUGAUUUCAGGAAGACAGAUAAUGAAUGCAAUGAACUGGCACAGUGAGAGCAUGAUAAAAGGAAUUGGUGAAACAGAACGCUCUUAUGACGUGAAAUUAAAAUGAUGAAAUGAGGUAGGUGGUAAUCCAGGCCUAUAAUUCCAGCUUUGCGGGGGCAGAGGCAAGAGGAUGUCAAAUUUGGACGUCAACUGGGACUUCACUGGGAGUUCCAGGGCAGCCUGGCGUCAACUCAUAAAUUCUGUAUAGAAAUGGAAUAAAUAAAUGAAUCAAUAAAUAAAAUAUUGAAAUGUAGUGUAUUGUGUGUCCAGGUACCGCAGGAAAGGUCAGCUAUUCAAGUAAAAUGAAAUGUAUCAACUGAAAUGAACAAAAUAUUGAAAUUAAGUGAUGAUAAGAAAUGAAGUAACAAAAUGGAAUGAACAGGUAUGAUAUGAAAUGUUGAAAAUAAGUCAUAAAAUGUGGAUUUUAUGAUAUAGGUAGUGACAUAAAUGUACUGAAAAUGAAACUAUAUAAAUAACGUAAUAAAAUAAAAUGGCAAUAUAAAA